rnacentral:rRNA from 1 species
UAGGGAAUAUUAGAAAUGGACGAAACCCUGAUCCAGCCAUCCCGCGUGUGCGAUGAAGGCCUUCGGGUUGUAAAGCACUUUUGGCAGGAAAGAAACGUCAUGGGUUAAUACCCCGUGAAACUGACGGUACCUGCAGAAUAAGCACCGGCUAACUACGUGCCAGCAGCCGCGGUAAUACGUAGGGUGCAAGCGUUAAUCGGAAUUACUGGGCGUAAAGCGUGCGCAGGCGGUUCGGAAAGAAAGAUGUGAAAUCCCAGAGCUUAACUUUGGAACUGCAUUUUUAACUACCGAGCUAGAGUGUGUCAGAGGGAGGUGGAAUUCCGCGUGUAGCAGUGAAAUGCGUAGAUAUGCGGAGGAACACCGAUGGCGAAGGCAGCCUCCUGGGAUAACACUGACGCUCAUGCACGAAAGCGUGGGGAGCAAACA